UAUUAUGAGAGUUUGAUCCUGGCUCAGGACGAACGCUGGCGGCGUGCCUAAUACAUGCAAGUCGAACGCUUCUUUCCUCCCGAGUGCUUGCACUCAAUUGGAAAGAGGAGUGGCGGACGGGUGAGUAACACGUGGGUAACCUACCCAUCAGAGGGGGAUAACACUUGGAAACAGGUGCUAAUACCGCAUAACAGUUUAUGCCGCAUGGCAUAAGAGUGAAAGGCGCUUUCGGGUGUCGCU
rnacentral:rRNA from 1 species